rnacentral:lncRNA from 1 species
UGGCACCGUCCCGAGCGCGUGGCGCGGGGCGCUGGCUGCCGGGCGGGGGCCUGGGGCCGCGGACGCUGGGGGCGCCUCGGCCGCGCUCAGCCUUUAGAUCGGAGAAUGCGGGCGGGGUGGGGGCGCUCGGGGUCCCCGCAGUCACUCCAGGGUCGAUUUCUCGGCGGGCGCCGCGGCCUGUGCGAGGCCGGGCCCCUUGGAGUGCCCCGGGAGGUGGUGCUGGGCGUCUGAACACCACAUCCCUUCCUGCGCCCGUGUGUGGGUUGGGAAUGCCGGGUGUAGGCCCUGGAUCAGAGCUGACGGGGUUGCGAGCGGCGUGGGGUGUGCCUGGGACGGUGACCGGAUGUGUCUUCCUGAAUCGUUGUAUUCGAGCUCCAGUUCUCUCUGUUUCUACAGCUGGGCCUCAGUCCUCACAGGGCUCUAGUGGGCGUUCAGCCACACCAGGAGAAGGCGCCCAGGGGAUUAACAGGACCCUUCCCUCUCCUGCUCUUCCCUCGCCCCCCAUGGCUCCCCCUCCCUCCUAUUUAGUAGGUACUUCUCCAGCACCCCACAGCGAUGAUGGAUGCUGGCCCUAAAGCCAGGCACUGCCGCCCUGCACUGUAGCAGAUGCCUAAAUAAAGUGUGGAGCCUGAAGCAGAAGUUUUGGGAGAUGCUUGCCUUCCUUUAGACCACAUUCCUCGCCUUUCUCAAGAUUUCUCCGUGGUACCCACCCCGUUUUUGUGUUGUCUUCCUUCCUUGCCCUUGUUUCAUUCCUUUUGAAAGCGACCACUCCCCUGAAGUCCUAGGACCCCCUUCGUGGGCUCUCCCUGCCGUAGACAGUCUCUGCUUGCCCCUGGGAGACAGACCCAACAUGAGUGAAGUUUCCUGCAAGAAACGGGACGACUAUUUGGAAUGGCCAGAGUAUUUUAUGGCUGUGGCCUUCUUAUCAGCACAGAGAAGCAAAGAUCCAAAUUCCCAGGUCGGCGCCUGCAUCGUGAAUUCAGAAAACAAGAUUGUCGGGAUUGGGUACAAUGGGAUGCCAAAUGGG